rnacentral:snoRNA from 1 species
UGGCAGGUUAAGGUUGAUUGUUACAGUAUAGCUGUGCAGUGCUAUAUUGUCCUUGCCCCUGCUGAAAGCAAUUGUUUCCUACAAUCUCUGUCUAGCUCAAUUCUAUAGCAAGACAGGGACGCUUGGUCUCAAACAU